UUCAAACAUAAAGGAGGAAAU
rnacentral:piRNA from 1 species